rnacentral:rRNA from 1 species
UACGUAGGGGGCAAGCGUUGUCCGGAAUCAUUGGGCGUAAAGAGCGUGUAGGCGGCCCGGUAAGUCCGCUGUGAAAGUCCAGGGCUCAACCCUGGGAUGCCGGUGGAUACUGUCGGGCUCGAGUCCGGAAGAGGUGAGUGGAAUUCCUGGUGUAGCGGUGAAAUGCGCAGAUAUCAGGAGGAACACCGGUGGCGAAGGCGGGCUCUGGGCCGAUGACUGACGCUGAGGAGCGAAAGCGUGGGGAGCGAACAGG